rnacentral:tRNA from 1 species
AAGGGUAUAGCUCAGGGGCAGAGUGCCUGCUUAGCAUGCAUGAGGUCCCGGGUUCAACCCCCAGUACCUCCG